rnacentral:rRNA from 1 species
CGAACGGGUGAGUAAUGCGUGACCAACCUGCCCCAUGCUCCAGAAUAGCUCUUGGAAACGGGUGGUAAUGCUGGAUGCUCCAACUUGACGCAUGUCUUGUUGGGAAAGUGUUUAGUGGCAUGGGAUGGGGUCGCGUCCUAUCAGCUUGUAGGCGGGGUAAUGGCCCACCUAGGCUUCGACGGGUAGCCGGCCUGAGAGGGCGGACGGCCACAUUGGGACUGAGACACGGCCCAAACUCCUACGGGAGGCAGCAGUG